CCUACGGGAGGCAGCAGUGAGGAAUAUUGGUCAAUGGGCGCUAGCCUGAACCAGCCAAGUAGCGUGAAGGAUGACUGCCCUAUGGGUUGUAAACUUCUUUUAUAUGGGAAUAAAGUGCAGUAUGUAUACUGCUUUGCAUGUACCUUAUGAAUAAGGAUCGGCUAACUCCGUGCCAGCAGCCGCGGUAGUACGGCGGAUUCGAGGGUUAUCCGGCUUUAUUGGGUUUAAAGGGAGCGUAGGCUGGUUGUUUAGUGAGUGGUGAAAGUGUGCGGCUCAACCGUAAAAUUGCAGUUGAUACUGGCAUCCUUGAGGACAGUAGAGGUAGGCGGAAUUCGGGGUGUAGCGGUGAAAUGCUUAGAUAUCACGAAGAACUCAGAUUGCGAAGGCAGCCUGCUGGACUGUAACUGACGCUGAUGCUCGAAAGUGUGGGUAUCAAACAGGAUUAGAUACCCGGGUAGUC
rnacentral:rRNA from 1 species